GGGGGCGUAUUGGUUUCGACGGGGACGUAGAGGCGGGAAUAGCGGGCGGAUGCGCCUAACAUCCUUAAAAUGGGCAAAAACAAUUAAACGCCAACAAUAACGUUGAGCUUGUCGCGGCUUAAGCCGUGACCGUUCCACCCGAGAGGGCCGCGGCUUGGGAUGGGGCGUCGUUUAGCGGCGAACGUGAGUGCGCAAAGCUUUGAGCGCACCAUGCAUAAUGAAGCUACUAAUCUCUUGAGUGUGUCAGCCCACGCCUGAGUGAGGGAAUGUAAACGACUGUCUGCGCCCGGAGAAGUUCCCGAAGAAGCGUUUUCGGACGGGGGUUCGACUCCCCCCGCCUCCACCA
rnacentral:tmRNA from 1 species